rnacentral:misc_RNA from 1 species
GGAAGGAUCAUUAACACGUAUCCACGUAUCCACCCAUUGUGAAUGAAUGUUUUCAUUACCUCCCUCUUUUCUAACAUGAGUUGGCCCAGGGUAAUAUGAGAGAAUUGAAUGGUGGUGCUUUUUGGCAUCAGUCUCGUAUUAUUUGACUCAAGCCCUUGUAGGCUUCAACAACUGUAGUUGGAAGAGAGGCUAUCUUACCUUUUGAUCGGCUCUUUUAUCGGUCUCCAUUCAAGAUAAAAAAGAGUUGUGAUAAAGGUUGCUAUUAACAAUUUUCACCCCCUUUUUGCUAGUUGACUUUUUAUGUUGUUUCAUUUAAUUCAUUUUAUUUGAUUCACACGUUACUUAAUUGAACGUUAAAAAUACAACUCUUAGCAAUGGAUAUCUAGGUUCUCGCAACGAUGAAGAACGCAGCGAAAUGCGAUACGUAAUGCGAAUUGCAGAAUUCAGUGAAUCAUCAAAUCUUUGAACGCAAAUGGCGCUCUUGGGUAGCCCUAGGAGCACGCCUCUCUCAGUAUCGGUUCAACAAUCAAUCAGCAGCGUCUGUGAGUAAUCAUGGUCGUGUUCGCUGGAAAAUGAGAGUCUGAGUGCCAUCAGUGCCUUAGUCUCUUUAAAUGCAUGGAGUAACAUGAUGACGAACUAAGUCAAUGUUGAAUUUAUUUUCAACUAGUCAGUCUCGGACUGUUGCUUGGUGAGUGACGUGAAUAUUGACCCUUGCGGUCUCCUUUUUACGUGUAACUCAACGAGUGAUAAUCAGGUCUAGGGCAGGCGAACGGCUUGGUAUAAGUGGACAUGUUAUGUCAACGUGAUGAAAUUCAUUUUUCAUUACAAUCGAUUAAAUUAAUUUUUGAUCUGAAUUUUGAUCUGAGAUGAAGCGAGACAACCCCCUGAAUUUAAGCAUAUUAAUAAGGGGAGGAAAAGAAACUAACAAGGAUUCCCCCAGUAACGGCGAGUGAAGCGGGAAGAGCUCAAUUUGAAAAUCGAUUACCUAAACGGGUCAUCGAGUUGUAGCCUAUAGACGUACUAUCAGCUGAAACCUGGGUAUAAGUUCUUUGGAAUGAGGCAUCAUAGAGGGUGAGAAUCCCGUAUAUGACCCAAAGCUAUUCAGCGUACGAUGUAUGUUCUUCGAGUCGAGUUGUUUGGGAUUGCAGCUCUAAAUGGGUGGUAAGUUUCAUCUAAAGCUAAAUAAUGGCGAGAGACCGAUAGCGAACAAGUACCGUGAGGGAAAGAUGAAAAGAACUUUGAAAAGAGAGUUAAAAGUACUUGAAAUUGCUAAGAGGGAAGCGCUGACAACCAGUGGUAACAUGUCGUUCAUCGCAUUCAGCCCCACUGGUUCGUGACAGUAGUUGGAAACUCUGCUGGUGCGAACGAAAGGGAGGUUGGGUGUUCAGAACGGCGUGUGAGUCAAGAUCAAUUCUAAUGGUGGGAGAAGGUAGGGAGACAGGUAGGAGAUCCGUCUCUGUUAUAGUCUUCUUACUCUACCUCCGCUUGGAUUGAGGAAGUAAUAGUGCGCUGCUUGCGGCUUAGUCCCUGGCUCCUACUGUAUCAACUGCUCUGAUCGCAAUGCUAUCUCUGUGGUGAAGUGCCGUACUGGGUUAGGUGUACUCUAUGUGCUAUCACGAUCUUGUACGAAAUGGUUGUCAUCGACCCGUCUUGAAACACGGACCAAGGAGUCUAACAUCUAUGCGAGUAUUUGAGUGUCAAAACUCUGAUGCGCAAUGAAAGUAAAGGCAGACUUGUGCUGCUGAGGUAGGAAUCCGGUCAAACGGAGGCACUAUCGACCGAUCAUCACUUGUGAAAGAUUUGAGUAAGAGCAUAUCUGUUGGGACCCGAAAGAUGGUGAUCUAUGCCUGAACAGGGUGAAGCCAGGGGAAACUCUGGUGGAGGCUCGUAGCGAUACUGACGUGCAAAUCGUUCGUCUGAUUUGGGUAUAGGGGCGAAAGACUAAUCGAACCAUCUAGUAGCUGGUUCCCUC